GCACACGUCCAACUUGAACUGAAACACGCCCAGAUCUACCGGAGGCAGCAAGUGGGAAUUUGACAAUGGCGAAGCCUGAUCCAGCCAUACGCUGCGGGAAGAAGCUUCGGUGUUAAACCGCUUUGUCAGGGAAGAAAUACUCGGGCUAAUACCUGGGGGUGAUGACGUACUGAAGAUAAGCACGGCUAACUACGUGCCAGCAGCCGCGGUAAUACGUAGGGUGCGAGCGUAAUCGGAAUUACUGGGCGUAAAGCGUGCGCAGGCGGUUUUGUAAGACAGAUGUGAAAUCCCCGGGCUUAACCUGGGAACUGCGUUUGUGACUGCAAGGCUAGAGUACGGCAGAGGGGGGUGGAAUUCCUGGUGUAGCAGUGAAAUGCGUAGAGAUCAGGAGGAACACCGAUGGCGAAGGCAGCCCCCUGGGCCUGUACUGACGCUCAUGCACGAAAGCGUGGGGAGCAAACAGGAUUAGAUACCCUGGUAGUCCACGCCCUAAACGAUGUCAACUGGUUGUUGGGUCUUCACUGACUCAGUAACGAAGCUAACGCGUGAAGUUCGCCGCCUGGGGAGUACGGUCGCAAGAUUAAAACUCAAAGGAAUUGACGGGGACCCGCACAAGCGGUGGAUGAUGUGGAUUAAUUCGAUGCAACGCGAAAAACCUUACCUACCC
rnacentral:rRNA from 1 species